GGCACACUUAGGUUUAAAAAGAAGAAAAUCAUCUGUAAUCUCAGAACUACAUGGUAAAUGCUAGAAAAACAAGCAAUACCAAGAAAAAUAACAGUUAAGACAAUUUUGUUAAAGCUUGUAGAGAAAAAGGAGGUCACAUGAAAACCCUCCAUGUGGCCUUUGUCUCUUCUUAGGUGGGCAUCAAUCUCCAGGACCUGAAGAGAAUUGAGGGAGGGAAGGGCUCCUCCAGGGGUCUAUAGCAACCUCAUAGAGGAGUUUCACCUUAAGGGAGAAAUUAAGAAUCCAGAUUUUGAAGUGAGUAGGCUCAGGAAAGAGAAAAGGAAUAGAUUAGUGUCUGAGUCCAGAAGGCAAAAAGGAUAGGUUUGUGUUGGGAGGGAGAAAGAAGGAGAGAGAGAGAGAG